CAGGUACUCCUUUGAUCUGCACGAAGAGAGAGUGAGAAAGAGGACGAAAGGGAUAUGCUGCUGAUCCUUUUGUUUCUUUUCUCUGUGCAAGUCGAGACCGAUAGAGAGAGCGUGCUGAACUUCGUAGACUCCAAGUGGAAAUUGUUUGGUGAUAGAGGUCUUCUGCGAGAGACAUGCACAGAAAGAAGAAGAGGGAAAUUCACAUCACGAGACUGAUCGGAGAGAGAAGGAGAAGCAUCUUUUUGAUAGUACAAAUAUAAGAGAAGAAGAAGAAGAAGAAGAAGAAGAAGAAGAAGAAGAGGGAGACGGGAAGGAAAGCAGAGGCAGGUAGAGAAAGGAAAAGACAAAUGAAAAUAAUGAAGAGGAAGAGCCUUUGGGAUUUCGAUCCACUCUGAUCAAAAUUCCAAGUUGUGCGACAGAGGUCAGCUCCGGAGUUUCCAAGAGAAAGGUGCUCUGUGCAAAAUUUCUUACUGCUUUUCCAUUGGGGUUUGCUUUGAGUGAAUCAAGAUGGAUGAGUAUUUCAAAGCUUAUUACGCCGCUUUAAUAAAAAGACAAGAAGAAGAAGCAGCAAAGAGUCUUCAGGUUGGCAUGAAGUCAAAACUUCGAAGAUGAAGGACAAGAUAAUGUUGACUGGGAAGAGGCUCCAGUUGCAGAUGCAUGAGAGCUUUCCAACUAUUGAAGAAAGAACAUACAAUUCUAAAAAAGAGGCUCAAGGCUUAUUUGCAAGUGAUGAUCGAUGCCGCUCAACUGUAGUUUUUUAUUUUGGUGUAUAUAUUGAAAGUUAAUUGUACUAUAUGGAAGUUCAGAGUUGAUCAAUAAAAUAGAGGCAGAGCUUGAACCUGAGCUUCAGAGGUUGGGGCUAAACAUGAAUACUUCCUACUUUGGAUGGAAGAUUAACUUAUCUUGAUGAGAACAUGAGUUGUAGGACUGCUACAUGUUUUCUACAAUGUACUGUAUGUGCUUGAUUGAGAUGGCAAGGCAAGUUGGGCCAACUCAGACUGGAAGUUGUCCCAAGUAAGAGGAAACUAAUCAACAUGCAAAAAGUUGCGAAGAAGUUAUGUGGCAGAAUUGUAGUUGGUGGAUUUUGUACUACACAUGUAUUCCCACCUAGCCUUGAAUUAAGGAAGGUCUAGAGGAUCUGGGUGCUUUUGGAUACCAAUAAUUCAGUUUUCCAUGUAAGCUUCGUUGGUUUCUUGCGCUCAAAUGGCAAGGCAAGCUACAAUGAAAUCAGUGCUUGAAAUCAUUAUAGACCAUAAACUAUGUAUACUAUUAUACUCUUAACAAAUGUAUAAAGCCUAAGCAAUCAAACCCGCGGCAUCGCGC